CACGUAGGGGGCAAGCGUUGUCCGGAUUUAUUGGGCGUAAAGAGCUCGUAGGCGGUCUGUCGCGUCGGCUGUGAAAUCCCGAGGCUCAACCUCGGGUCUGCAGUCGAUACGGGCAAACUUGAGUGUUGCAGGGGAGACUGGAAUUCCUGGUGUAGCGGUGAAAUGCGCAGAUAUCAGGAGGAACACCGGUGGCGAAGGCGGGUCUCUGGGCAACAACUGACGCUGGAGGAGCGAAAGCGUGGGGAGCGAACAGG
rnacentral:rRNA from 1 species